UCAGUUUCAGUUUCAAAUAAUAAUGCGAUGACUCAAGAGCUGUGAUGAAAUUUUUUUAGAAAUUUUAUCUGUGAGGUAAAUAUUCAAGCUGAUAACUGCAUACCUCAAAUAAAACCAUUGGACUUCAUUAAGUUGGAGGGUCCGAGAAGUUAGCCACAUUAGAUUUUCAUAGAACGUUGAAUUGAAGUUUGACAGUGUUGCCAUGUGAUUAUAAUGUAUAUAAUGUAUAAUAUGUUGCACGCUUCAAAUAUACAGAGAAAGCUUCGAAAGAUAUUAGUUGCAGUUAAUUACUAGAAAUUUUUUUGUGGCAAUUGCCCUGAUAGAUUCCAGGAGAGAUUUGGCAACAGAGUCGGAACGUUUAAAUUUGCGUUUGCCAGAUUGCACAGAUGUUCCGCAGAUAGGUAUACAUUUUAUGACUUUCUUUUUAUUAUAUUUGUAUUAUUUGGAAUUAAUGUACCUGAAUACUGAAAUGCUCUCAGUUACUGAAAAGUGUUCACUUCGUUAGUACGCUAUUUUUAUGUUUAUUUUGUAUUUUUUUAAAUAUUAAAAUGCCUACAACUAUAUUGUAUCACGUGAAAGACUUAUAGUCCUUUUCCUUUUGACCAUAUAAAUAAGCUACAACUUCCAUUUUAGACAAAUUAUUUUUUAUAAUAGUACUGUGGACUUGUAUAUCUGUAUUUUCAGUUGCAUAUAUUCUGGAGCCUGUUAUUAUCACAGCUUUUUAAUAUUU
rnacentral:lncRNA from 1 species